rnacentral:rRNA from 1 species
UACGUAGGGAGCAAGCGUUGUCCGGAAUUACUGGGCGUAAAGCGUGCGUAGGUGGUUUGUUAAGUCUGAUGUGAAAGCCCUGGGCUCAACCUGGGAACGGCAUUGGAAACUGGCUUACUAGAGUGCGGUAGAGGGGUGUGGAAUUCCCGGUGUAGCAGUGAAAUGCGUAGAUAUCGGGAGGAACAUCUGUGGCGAAGGCGACACCCUGGACCAGCACUGACACUGAGGCACGAAAGCGUGGGGAGCAAACAGG